UACGGAGGGGGCUAGCGUUAUUCGGAAUUAUUGGGCGUAAAGGGCGCGUAGGCGGCUAGGCAAGUGGAUGGUGAAAUCCCUCGGCUUAACCGAGGAACUGCCGUCCAAACUGCUUAGCUUGAGACCGGGAGAGGUGAGUGGAAUUCCCAGUGUAGCGGUGAAAUGCGUAGAUAUUGGGAGGAACACCAGUGGCGAAGGCGGCUCACUGGACCGGUACUGACGCUGAGGCGCGAAAGCGUGGGGAGCAAACGGG
rnacentral:rRNA from 1 species